rnacentral:lncRNA from 1 species
GUCCGAAUUCGUGAUCGCAACACAUGAUCCUCGCAAAUUUUUUCCCUCGGGUAGUCGGGGUUCAAUUUGUUUUUCGUUUUCUAAAACCCUCGUUACAGAACAAAACUUCUGUAUAGGAAUUAAACCCCGUCUACAAGACGAGAUCCUCUGCUAAUCCGAUGACACCAAAAAUGCAUUUUAUUGCUGAUUACAAUUCCAAUCCUAAAACCAAUCUCGGACCACCCGCCACGCCUCCGAAUUCCGCCUCAUCUUCGUCCACAGCCUCUCUACAGUCCGGUAAGAGGACCAGGGUUCUUCCAAAUUUAUAUGAUUGUCAUUGCUGCGGGAUCCGAAUUAAUCACAGCAACCCGGAAGAUCGGCUGCAACCAUUGGACAGCGUCUGGCGCAUUGUUCUGCUCUGUAGAAAAUGCAGCAAGAAAGUUCAAUCUGGCCAAACAUGCUCUUAUUGCUUCAAAGAAACGUCGAAUUCAGGUAAUAUUAUUAGAUGCCGUGAUUGUGGUCGCCGAAUUCACCAAGUUUGUGUUAAGAAUUAUGGGGAUUGCACGCCGUGGUGUUAUAUGGGGCUAGGGUUAGGGUUUAGGGUCUGUGUGGAUUGUUGGGUUCCGGAUUUGCUAAAGAGUUCUGUCAGGAUUCAUAGGAGGAGUGAUAGUAGGGUUGUGGAGAAAUCUUGUGCAAAUGAGGGGGAUUUGAAAAACUGUUGGCAGAAGGGCAAGAAAUAUGGGGUGGAGAAGACGGUGAAGAUGGUAGCCAUGGGAAAGGAGAAGGCUUUGAGGAAGUCUGUGGAGGCGAAGAAUGCAGUGAAGUUGGCAGAAAAUGCUUUGGAUAUAGCAGAUAAGAAUGGUAAGAAAGGUGAUAGUGGUAGUAGCAAUGCACUUGAGCUAGUUGAUGAUGUGGAAUUUGCAAUUCAAUUGCAUCGUGCAAUGAAUAGUUCACCAAGGAUUUUGAGGGAUAAGUGCAUAGGGAAGUCAACUUGUUUUGAGAUUUUGAAGAGUAGGGAUUCCAUUAGUUUGUCUUCUAAAAGAUCGGGUUUAGGAAGGAAUAAUAGUGAAGGUUCGAAUCCGGACACAUUUAUUAAUGUUAUGGAGAACGAAAUACUUAUCAGGACCAGAGAGAAUGAUUCUUGCCUUCAAGUGAGUAAAUUGAGACAGGGACUAUUAACUUACAAGAGGGACAGCAAGAGGAAGUUAUGGCAAGUAGAUGUCGAAGACUUUGUGGUUUCUGAAUCUAAGUGUAGUCAGCAAGAUGAUUCAAGGGACGAGUUACAUUUGGAUGGCUCUAAGUCUGCUUGUCAAUUGAGAUUCAAUGGUGAUAUCUACAAGCGAGACAAAAAGAGGAAGUUAUGGCAUGUAAAUAAUGACAAUGCCAUGGUAUCUGAAUCUAUUUUUAAUCUGCAAGAUGAUUUACAAUACAAUUUACACUUGAAUGGUGCUAAGCCUUGGUGUCCAUCGAGUAUUAAUGGUGAUACUUUACAGGAGGGAUAAUAAGAGGAAGUUUUGGCAAGGAGAUGAUGACGGUGUCAUGGUUUCUAAAUCUAAGUUUAAUCAGCAAGAUUUAGAGUGGCCUUUGAACCUCAGUGAUGCAAUACAAAGAUUUAGGCAAGAGCCCAUAAUUUACAAGCUCACUAGGUUCAAGUUGAAGGCAUGCCAAGAAAUUGGCAAGGCAAUUGUAUUUGGAGAAUGCAAUUCCGGUCUUGACAAGAGAGUGGCCUUGGAACCUCAGUAUCAUCAGCGAGAUGAUUUAAAACAUGAGUUGCCUUUGGAAGACAGUAGUAAUAAUUAUACAGUAAAAUGUGAUGCUGAGAUAACUUUGUCUAAUGGAAGUUACAAAGCAGAGCCUGAACGCCAUUUUUUUAAGUAUGUUUUGAGGUGAACAAGUGCCAAAUCGGGUUCAAUUAUUGAAGCCGAGCUGCAUUCUGAUGCAUCUCGGAAUGAAAAUCAGGCCUCAGUUACUUCUUUGGUUAAUAGAAAGAUUAGUUGUUUUGUGAAGUGUGAUAACAAAAUGAUUUUGUCUGGUGGAAGCUUAUACAAAGAAGAGCCCUAGGUAUAGCAGGUACAAAAGUUGUUUGUGACUCCUACUUUUUCUUUUACUGAUGAAAUUCAAUGUUUUUACAUUUCUCAAAAAUAUGCAUUAUUAGUAGUAGAGGCAAGUGUUUGCACAUGUCAUCCUUCUCCUGAAACAUGUCAUUCUUGCAAGCAAUGUUUAAAAAGGCUAAAUAAGAUAUCAAGGGGGAGGCUAGGUGUAAGGCUCCUUUGAGGUGUCAAUCCCAACAUAAAUAGAUAGAAAAUUACAAAUUACUACAAGAAUACAACCCAAAACCACAAAAAUAAAUCACAAUAAGGAAGCAAGCCCAAUUUUAAGAAGUUUAAAAUGUUUAACCACUUAUUAUUAUAAAUGCAAGUAUUAGCCAAUAUAAUGGAAACAUAUUAAUUUUGGUCGAAUGUUGAUUAACCAAGUUUUCAGAAAGUAAAAGGAAAAACACCUAGGAAACAAGUAGCAAAACACAAUUAAAAUAAAAAGAAGUGACAUGGUAUUAGUUUUUGAU